UACGCAGGGAGCUAGCGUUGUUCGGAAUUACUGGGCGUAAAGGGCGCGUAGGCGGCUUGGCAAGUUGGAUGUGAAAGCCCAGGGCUCAACCCUGGAAUUGCAUUCAAGACUGUCUUGCUUGAAUUCGGUAGAGGUUGGUGGAAUUCCCAGUGUAGAGGUGAAAUUCGUAGAGAUUGGGAAGAACACCCGUGGCGAAGGCGGCUCACUGGCCCGAUACUGACGCUGAUGCACGAAAGCGUGGGGAGCAAACAGG
rnacentral:rRNA from 1 species